rnacentral:rRNA from 1 species
UACGUAGGGUCCGAGCGUUGUCCGGAAUUAUUGGGCGUAAAGGGCUCGUAGGCGGCGUGUCGCGUCGGGGAGUGAAAGCCCGCUGCUUAACGGCGGGUUGGCUUCCGGUACGGGCAUGCUGGAGUGUGGCAGGGGAGACUGGAAUUCCUGGUGUAGCGGUGGAAUGCGCAGAUAUCAGGAGGAACACCGGUGGCGAAGGCGGGUCUCUGGGCCAUUACUGACGCUGAGGAGCGAAAGCGUGGGGAGCGAACAGG